rnacentral:rRNA from 1 species
CUUAAAUUGAAGAGUUUGAUCAUGGCUCAGAUUGAACGCUGGCGGCAGGCCUAACACAUGCAAGUCGAGCGGAAACGAGUUAUCUGAACCUUCGG